rnacentral:tRNA from 1 species
GGUAGAAUGGCUGAUUAAAGCGGUAAAUUGUAAAUUUAUUUAUGGGAUUUUCUCUUCUAUC